rnacentral:lncRNA from 7 species
UUUCUCCUCAGUUUGGAACCAUCUGUGACUGGAGCCAUGACGCAGCCAGAGCACAUUACUCACUUUUACAGUCACGACUUGGAAAUCCGUGCAGUUUCCAACCAAAAUUACACCGCCACCAUUGAAUUAUUUAAUAGGAUCCAGUUAAGGGGUGAUUCCCCUUUCUGCAAGAAUUCCCUGUCUCCGGGCUCCGUGCAUGCAGCAAAUGCGUUAUGGAGACGAGCGGAGCCCCCUCGCCUUAAAGAAAAGUAGAAAGGGAGCAAAACGGAGGGAUCCGAGCAUGCAGAAAGGAAAGACGAGACUCACGGCCGCUGGCUGCAGCAUGCACAGGAAAGAUCGCUACUUACCGAGCGGGAACUCCUCGGACAGGAGUUGGAAAAAAAUACUGCGGUGAUGUCCAGGUUUUCUUCCACCCGCGCUCGCUUUUUAUACAAGUGCAACCCUCUGUCUAUUUCUGGAACGCGAUCAAAACCCUGAUGCUAUUUUUAGCAGUGUCUUUGUAAAGUGGGCUUGGGAGAAAACACAACAACCACCAUGCACCACUUGGCCAUUGUGCACAAACGUGGGUUUCAGGCGGGGAUGCUUUGCCGGGAGACUGAGGUGGCUCCAUACGGUGAAUUGCACCCAGCACAAAGAAGGGCUGCUGGGGUUUUUUGUUUUUUUUUUUUUGUUUUUUUAAUUCUCUCCUCGCCCCCUGCCUUUCUCCCCCUUAAAAAAAUACCAUCCUUUGUUUGGAGAAUAAAGGAUCUAUAAAUAUAUAU